UACGAAGGGGGCUAGCGUUGUUCGGAAUUACUGGGCGUAAAGCGCGCGCAGGCGGUUUUUCAAGUCAGUGGUGAAAGCCCGGAGCUCAACUCCGGAACUGCCAUUGAAACUGUAAAACUUGAGGACGAGAGAGGUGAGUGGAAUUCCCAGUGUAGAGGUGAAAUUCGUAGAUAUUCGCAAGAACACCAGUGGCGAAGGCGGCUCACUGGCCCGGUACUGACGCUGAGGUGCGAAAGCGUGGGGAGCAAACAGG
rnacentral:rRNA from 1 species